rnacentral:rRNA from 1 species
CGAUUAGUUGGACUGGAGACUUCGUUCAAAGGGAAGAUUAUGAAAGCGGCGGACGGGUGAGUAACGCGUGAGCAACCUGCCCUGUACAGGGGGAUAGCCACUGGAAACGGUGAUUAAUACCCCAUAAACCCAAAAGAUCGCAUGAUCUAAUGGGCAAAGUCCUAACGGUACAGGAUGGGCUCGCGUCUGAUUAGCUAGUUGGUGAGGUAAUGGCUCACCAAGGCGACGAUCAGUAGCCGACCUGAGAGGGUGAACGGCCACACUGGAACUGAGACACGGUCCAGACUCCUACGGGAGGCAGCAGUGGGGAAUAUUGCACAAUGGGGGAAACCCUGAUGCAGCAACGCCGCGUGAGUGAUGAAGGCCUUCGGGUCGUAAAGCUCUUUGAUCAGGGACGAUAAUGACGGUACCUGAAAAACAACCAC